UACGUAGGGGGCUAGCGUUGUCCGGAAUCAUUGGGCGUAAAGCGCGUGUAGGCGGUCCGGUAAGUCCGCUGUGAAAGUCGGGGGCUCAACCCUCGAAAGCCGGUGGAAACUGUCGGGCUAGAGUGCGGAAGAGGCGAGUGGAAUUCCUGGUGUAGCGGUGAAAUGCGCAGGAUAUCAGGAGGAACACCAAUUGCGAAGGCAGCUCGCUGGGACGUUACUGACGCUGAGACGCGAAAGCGUGGGGAGCAAACAGG
rnacentral:rRNA from 1 species